rnacentral:rRNA from 1 species
UACGUAGGGCGCAAGCGUUAUCCGGAAUUAUUGGGCGUAAAGAGCUCGUAGGCGGUUUGUCGCGUCUGCCGUGAAAGUCCGGGGCUCAACUCCGGAUCUGCGGUGGGUACGGGCAGGCUAGAGGCAGGUAGGGGAGAACGGAAUUCCCGGUGUAGCGGUGAAAUGCGCAGAUAUCGGGAGGAACACCGGUGGCGAAGGCGGGUCUCUGGGCCGAUACUGACGCUGAGGAGCGAAAGCGUGGGGAGCGAACAGG